UCUAUGGUGAAUGCUCUGGGGUACAGUGAGCCUACGGGUCUGGCAAUGGUGAGGCCCUACCCAUUACCUGAACUGGGCUAACUGGAGCCCCCUUUCGAUGGUCCCCAUUUAUUAUUCCUCACUCCUUCACUCCUAGACCAGACCCGCUGAGAAACAGCACACUGAGGUGUUGGAAGAAACAAGAAAUCAAUUCCGCUUGAUGGCAGUGUUGCACCAAGAAUGCCAAGGGACCUGUCUUCCAGUGGCUCUCCCUCCGCCCUUCCCUGAAGGAAAAAAGGCCAACAACAUGUCAUUAUACUCCAAAAUGGUUGAGUUCAAUCUUGACCUCUUCUGCUCAGAGAUGGGUCUUGGAGCCCUACAGUAUGGAUCCUGACAUGGAGUGGGGGUGUCACAGAACUCACAGAGUUCUCAACCCCAUUGUAUGGAGAUGAUUAACUACAAGGGGCAUGGUCUGCCCUCAAGGCCUAAGGACCAUACAGGAAAACUACACUGGGAAUUCCACAACUAGAAGCAAGUGUCAGGAGAAGCCACAGACUCAAACCUUGGCCUGAAACUGGAUCCAGGGAUGAGUACAGUUCCUGCCAUAGCCUGCCAGAACACUAUAAAUGGCAAAUGUGUACAGGACCCUCCGAUGGUAUAUUGAUGCUUUUAGAAUCUUGACCAGCAGUUGAGCUGGAUGAGGACUCAGAUGCAUACAGUCUGAAGAUUCAUGGAAACAAGAUCUGCUGAGAAGCUGUCGAAGUGAGCUUUUAGGAUUUGACCAGCAUUUCAGCUGAGAUCAAUUCGGGUGAGGACUCCGAAGCUUUCAGUCUGAAGAUUCAUGGAAACAAGAUCUGCUGAGAAGUUUGCGAGCAGCUGCAGCCCGUUUGUCCAGUCUGUAUCAAGCCAGACAGCCACCGGGAACGGCAAGUUUUAGGACUCAGAAAAGAAGAAGACUUUUCGUUCUGAAGAUUCAUGGGAACAGGAUCAGCGGAGAAGUUGGUGAGGUGAGGUUAGCUGUGACGCAGCACUUGAGAUCUCAUGUCUUACUUGGGAAAGACA